rnacentral:rRNA from 1 species
AUUGAUAAAAUUAAUUAAUAAACUAUUUUUAAAUUGAAUUUAUUUAAUAAAGAUAUUUUUAUUUAUGUUGUUUAAGUUUUAGUAUUUUUUUAAAAAAAAUUAUUUUAUUGAAAGUUAAUUAGUAUUGAUAAAGAAAUUUAAUAUUAAAAUAAAUUUUGUAAAGAAAAUUUUAUUUAUUGUAUCUUGUGUAUCAGAGUUAAUUAAAUUAAUAAAUUUAUUUAUAUUUAUCUUGAAAAAUAAAAAUUUAAUUAAAUAUUUAAUUUAAUAUUAAAUAAUUAUUUAAAAUAUUUAAUUGGAAACUAAAUAUUAUUCGUUUUAUUUUAUAUCUAGUUUUUUUAGAAAUUAAAUUUAAUUUAAUUUUUUUUUAAAAAAUAAAUUAAAUAAUUUAUUUGAAAUUUUUAUUAUAAAAAAUUAAAUAAUUUUUGGGAUAAGCUUUAAAUUAAAUUUCUAAAUUUUUAUUUUUUUUAAAUAAUUUCUAGUUUAUUAUAAUUUAAAUUUUUAAUUAUUUUUAUUUUAUUAAUUUUUUAAAUCUAACUUAUUUUAAUUAAAUUUUUUAUUUAAAAAUUAGUAAAUUUAUAAAAAUAUUAAUUUUAAUUAUAUUUUUUAAUUAAUUAUGAUUAAAUUAUUUAUAUAACAUAAAUUUUAAAGAAUAAAUUUAAUAAUAAUAAAUUUUUAUUAAAAUUUAAAUUUAAUAAUUAGGCAAAUUAAAAAAUUCAAAUGUUUAUCAAAAACAUUUCUUUUUGAAUUAAUAAAAUUUUUAGAUAAAAAGUAUAAUCUGCCCACUGAAUUUAAAUUUUAAAGGGCUGCAGUAUUUUAACUGUACUAAGGUAGCAUAAUAAAUUGUUUUUUAAUUGAAAACUGGAAUGAAUGAUUGAAUGAAAUUUUUACUUUUUUGAUUUUAUUUUUUUAUAAAACUUUGUUUUUUAGUAAAAAAACUAAAAUCUUUAAAAAAGACGAGAAGACCCUAUAGAUUUUUAAUAUAAACUUACAUAAUUUUUUUUAUUAAAAUUUAUAUAAUUUAUUUAAAUUGGGGUGAUAAAAAAAUUUAUUUAACUUUUUUUAUUUUUUAAUCAAUUAUUUUUGAUUUUAUUAAGAUUAAUAAUUAUACUAAAUUUGUUAUUUUAUUUAAAUAAAAUUACCUUAGGGAUAACAGCAAAAUUUUAAUUUAAAGAUGUUAUUUAAAUUAAAGAUUUUGACCUCGAUGUUGGAUUAAAAUAAAAAUUUUGUGAAGUAGCAAAUUAUUUUUAGUCUGUUCGACUAUGAAAAUUUUACAUGAUCUGAGUUCAGACCGGUGUAAGCCAGGUUGGUUUCUAUCUUUUUUUAAGAAAAAAUUUAUAGUACGAAAGGAAUUAAAUUAUCAAUUUAAUUUUCUAAAAAUUAAAAUUUGAUUUAUAAUUAAUUAUAAAAAUUAAUAGUAUUUUAGAUAUUUUUUAAUUAUUAA